AUUGAACGCUGGCGGCAGGCCUAACACAUGCAAGUCGAGCGGAUGAAGGGAGCUUGCUCCUGGAUUCAGCGGCGGACGGGUGAGUAAUGCCUAGGAAUCUGCCUGGUAGUGGGGGAUAACGUCCGGAAACGGGCGCUAAUACCGCAUACGUCCUGAGGGAGAAAGUGGGGGAUCUUCGGACCUCACGCUAUCAGAUGAGCCUAGGUCGGAUUAGCUAGUUGGUGGGGUAAAGGCCUACCAAGGCGACGAUCCGUAACUGGUCUGAGAGGAUGAUCAGUCACACUGGAACUGAGACACAGUCCAGACUCCUACGGGAGGCAGCAGUGGGGAAUAUUGGACAAUGGGCGAAAGCCUGAUCCAGCCAUGCCGCGUGUGUGAAGAAGGUCUUCGGAUUGUAAAGCACUUUAAGUUGGGAGGAAGGGCAGUAAGUUAAUACCUUGCUGUUUUGACGUUACCAACAGAAUAAGCACCGGCUAACUUCGUA
rnacentral:rRNA from 1 species